GAAGGCUGUCUGGAAGAAGCAAUGGCUUUGUAAAUUCUUUUUUUUUUCCAGUAAACUACUGAAAAAAUAUUCAAUAAUUAAAAAAAAAAUUUGUUGAAAUAAAGCCUUGUGCCAUGCCUUGGCUUAAGAGGCAGAAAUAUGUGACAAAAAGAUUGUGUUAAACCAGGAGCUUCCUCAUUCUCCCUGAGAGUUUGCAAGGGUCACUUCCUGAAAAGCUUAGGUUGGUUUUUGAUUUAUUCCCCUAGAGCCGUGAUGAUUCACAGCAACAACUCGACAAGUCUCCUGAAAAAAAUCACACAAUCCCAUCCAUCUGAGGAUUUAGGUGCAGUGUCCACGUGUAGACACAAACCAAAGAUGCGUCUCUGCCAAAUUUCUGCACACCAACCCGCAAAGAUUCCUCAGUCCCAGGUCAAACUACACAAAGCCGGGUUGAUGGUACUUCAUAGAUUAUUUUGCCCUUUGGAGGUUUGUUCAGCAGUGUCCAAACAUGUAUUUUAUGAAAUCCCCUUGCUCUUUGCUGUGCAAGGUAAUUUAUACGCUACAAAACAAGCGCGGCGAGAGUUGAACAGUCUGGAUCAGAUCUCGUCUCUGUAUCUCUACAGCACCACAAAAACUGUCCAUCCUCCUCCUGUUGUGUCCCCAGGAGAACAUGCUCCAGCUGAAGCUGAGGAGUGCAUCUGUCCAGGCAGAGCACACACAUCCACACAAUCCCCUCUCAACCGGCUUGCGCUUUUUGGAAACAGGAAUUUGGAACUCUGGGCCGCGAUCACGGGGGCAAAUGGACAAACCUAGCAGGGGAGCUGGCCACAAUUUAAACUGUGCCUGUGGAUUUUGUCAAGCAGAGUCGUGCAGCUUUUCCACUGCUUCAGCUGAGUGGGAUGUACGGCAGCUCAGAGCUUGUAAAAUGGGGCUGCUCUUUCAGAUGCCAUUAUUCAGGUGCUAGAAUGUUAUUGCAUUGCUCUGCCAACAGCCUAAUAAGCACAAGGAGUGAAAUGUGGUUGAGGAAAGAAGUUGCACACUCAUUUUUCAGGGUGAUUUCCAGUUUUUGGCCGAACUGGAGGUAAUUUGCUCAGGGUAAUUUUGGCAAGUUGCUAUUGCUUUCUGAGAGGGUAACAAGAGCCAUUUAAAAACCAAAACAAAACAGCAUAGAAUUAUCUGAAAACUGCACCUUUUUUUUUUUUUUUUUUUUAAUGGAGGAAUAUCUUCUUUUUAAGCAUGUAAAUUCUUGUUAUUAACUCUGAUGUCAAUGCCUAAUUUUCAGAUAAUCCAGCUCCUGUUGAAGCUGUUCCUUCAGCCCUCUAGUGGUAAAAGCCACCAAAGCACUAGAAUUGCAGUUAAUCUUUAUGUUCUGUUGAUAUUGCGGAUUUCACUGUGAAAACAACCCAAAUCACUAGAUGAUUUGCAGUCACUAUGUAGGACUACUCCGUGGCUGGAAAUUUUCCUGCUGUGUUACACAAAGAUUUAUUUAUUUCUUCCAUCUUCCCUUUCCUGUCUAAAAUCUAGUUUGUUUUUAAUAUUAGCAGGCAGAUUAAAAAAAAAAAACCCACAAACCAAAUAAUAAAAAUCCACCCAAUGGCAAAUGCCUUUUAAAUCAUGAAAGCAAUGAUAUUUUUUUAUAUAUAUAUGUGGGGAAAUUUAACAGCCUUGAAUACAUUUAUACUAAAAGUAAAUGGAGAUGCUCAUAUUCUUCCCAGAUAUUCCAGGAACAUCUGUUCCUUUGAAUUCCAGUGCUGCUCCAUGAGUUACAUGCAAAGUGUCCCAAAGGACUUGAAGCCAUCUGUCACGUUGCACAGGCAGAAAUGCACCCACCUCUGGGGCUGUGACAGAGGGACAAUCCUCUCAGUACCCAGGACAGCCAAGCAACACUUGGUGAGUGGGAUGCAAUUACCCAUAACGAAAUUUAGCCAAGGAUUUGUGACUGCAGCACAUCAUCCUAUCUGUUAUUAACAUGGUGAUUAAUGAUCUUUUGUGCAUCAUUAAUCUACCAUUACUCUAUUAUUCCAGGAUGUCCAGCACUGGAUUGUUUAACAGCUUAGAAAAGGCUUUUACACACAAAAAAAGUGACAGUCAGGUCUCUUUUCACUGCAGGAGAAACCUUGUGAGAAACGUAGAAAAUGAAGACUGUGCUGUGGUGCCUUUUUAUUGCUAGAAUUAGAAAAUUGGAAGCCGAUUUUAUGAAGCUGCAGUGGUCAUUUCUUUUCUGUUUACUUGUCUCAGCAUUAUUUUAAAAUGUAUUAAGAGAAGUUCGGGGAGGAAUUUUUGUUGAUUCAGAGCACAAGUUGCACUGAUUUGAAGAGGGUUUUAAUCUGUUACAGGCAUUCAUUUGCUAGGAGAACACCUGAAGAGGGACCAAAAGUAAUAUCAGAGCUGGAGAAGUGGUCAGUAUUGCCACUAGUGCUGUCUCUGUGUGCUGUGGGAAGUGAUCAGUAUUACCAUCAGUGCUGUCUCUGCAUGCUGUGGUGUAUGAUCUAGGAAUCCCACUCUGUUUGCCAAAGCCAAAUACUAAAGGAUAUCUUCUGCCUUCUGAAGGGCUGAACACAUCAGAAGCAUUACAAAGGCCAGAUUUGGUGCCUUUAGAACAACAGGGUUCAUUAGGGUUUUUUGACUUUCUGUUAGGAAUAAUCAUAUAAUAACCAAAACUCUGAAAUAAGUACAAAUCCCCAAACUCAGUGGCUGGAAAGCAAGUGGUUCCCUAAAAAUCCCUUCUGUCAGUCAUGUCUUCUUCACAUUCAAGUUCUUCUUUACUAUGAGGCCUGCCUGGCUUAUGAAAACACCUUUCCCUGGAGGGAUCUUAUCUUUAAUAAAAAUCUCCAUGUGUUCAAUCAGUCUCGUAUUACCGAGUCACUCCUGGUGCACUGAAUUGGUCUUCUGCUUUCACGGACAAAUCUCCCUGGCAGGCUGCCCAUUUCUUUCCAGUUAUGACAAGAAUAUUAAUCACUCUCUGAUUGGUGUGUGCUCCAUCAUCGGGGCACAUCAUAAAUCACUGGGAGGUCCUUUCACAGCUGGUUAAAGUCACACCUCAGGGCUUUGCCCAGCACGGGCCUUCCCAAUCUACGUGGGCAUCUUUCCUACACUCAUGUCUUGUACCUUGAGGAGUGUUCUCCAAAGGGCUUCACAAACCUUGUCUUUCAAAAGCUGCCCUAUACUCCCCAGCACUUCCAGUAGAUAUCAAAGUCAUCCUCACUAAUCCUCCUUCACUGAAAGGUUGGGUGACCAGUCAUACAGCCUGGAGGAGAUGGAAAAAUACGACCAGUGGGGGAAGAGAGAGCAGGAUUCUCUCUUAAAUCCACGUGGGGCACAGAGGUGGCCAGAUAGUGUAAAAACCAGCCCAGGUUUCUCUCCUCGAACCCAACCUCGAGAAAUAUGACUUUAAAUAUGACAACAGGACUUUGUCAUGAGUGCCAGCAUUUCUUCAGAAAACCUCACAAUUAUCCAUGUUCUGGAAUUCCUUUUCCAUAGCACAGGCAGGUUAUUAGCCUGAGAGGGCAGACACUA